UAUACGGUCUGGGACACUUUUA
ensembl:ncRNA